GCUACAGUAGGUAGUCCGAAGCAGGUGUGCGAGAGCAGUUCGUUCGUGAGACGGGGCGUUGCCUCGUCGUCUCGCGGCUAAAGGACGGAGGAAAAACUGCUGUAAUCUAAGCUAUUAGCAUGCUAAGCUACGAGCGCGCUAAGCUAGCGCUCAUGGACUUCAGUGCUAACCGCCUGCUAGCAUCUCCGAUGGAGUUCAUCAGCACUGAUGGCGACCGAGAGGAAACCAGAUAGCGCACUGGUUGACCGGGUAAAACUCAGCUGCACCUUGGGCUACAAGGGACGUGAGACUUUCUUCAUCCAUCGGUCAAGGACAGGUGAGAGGAGGCAGAGGUAGACUGGACCCGGGUGAGUAAGCAAGUUCACAGUCGUGGCCCCAGCCCACACGCUUGGAACAGGGUUUGUUUUUUAUUUCAUUAUACUGCUGGAAUUUGUUUGUUUUUUUACAAGAGUGUGGGCCCACAAACAUUGAGUGCACUGUUCUGAGUUUGAAUAUUAUAAGAACAUUCAAAAAGGUCAUUAGAGGAAAUAAUUUCCACAUGCCCUAAUAUAAAAUUCUGUGUUUAGUAACAGUGUUUACUUGAAUCUGAGUUUACAUCCGGUAAAAGAGGGGAAAGAGGGAAAAUUUGACUGUUGAUUUGUUUGCUUUUAUUUUAAGAUUUUGCCUAUAAAAGGCAAUUAGGCCAUAACCAUAUCUGUCAUCAUAUAUAUAUAUAUAUAUGUAAUUAUCCGUAUUCAGACCUAAUUUCUUGUUUAAAAAUCCUUAAUUAUUGUGAUUUUACAUGUUUGAAGUAAUUUCUCUAAGACAAGGUGAUUAGUUUGAGACGGUUAAAGGUGCAGUAUAAAUAAGACCCCACAUAGUUUUUUAGUCUAGAUCCUAUAAUACAGGUUUAAUGAGUCGGAGCUGCUGCAGUGCUGUCGCAGAGGGUUAAGCUGCAUUUAUGAUCAAACAUGAAAUGGUCUGACUCAAACCAGACGGUCACGAUCAUGAGAGCAAAGCAAGGACUGUCGAGAGAGAGUGUAUCUUUCUGCUUUCCUAGGGGUAAUUGUUCCGAUGGCCCGAUUGUUACUUAGGUUGAGUAAUUGCUGAAAGUGUGUGUUUGUGUGUGUUGGUGUUGAGGAAAAAAUAGCCGGUCAUUGUGAAACGUUUGUUCAGGUUCACUAACUUGCCAACCGUUGGCCAAUCAAAGUAAUGCAAAGCAAUUUAGAUAAUGAUUUAAAUGACAAGAACACAAAGUGUACCUGCCUGGAAUAUGGUGCAAUUAACACCACAUGUUUAUCAGGCCACGUGCCAUGUAGGCAAAACAAAAACAAAGAACAGAAGAUGAGUGUUUGAGCUCUGGGAGCUUAACACUCCCAGAGCUCAACUUAAAAAGAUAAAAUUAAAAACAGACAAGGUUCCGGUGAACACACUAAGGAAAGAAUUUUUCAGUGCAUUAGCAUAUCAGAGCCGAGUCUUUACUGAAGGGGAACGGAAAAGAAGCGAAAGGGAGAGGAGGAAGAUGCAAAAUAAAAAUUCACACUGACUGAAAGAACACAUUUACUUCUCAUUGUGUGUCUACGCUGCACUAACAGGCUGCUCUCUCCUUUCACUGCAUUGUGAGUCCGCCGGUGAGUUUUGAUGUUCAUUACCCAAUAGUGCCUGGGAUAUCUGGCCGUACACAGGUCAUCAUCCCGCAUCAGACACAUUUGCAUUUCAAUCACUUGUGUUAGCGGAGGCAGCUGAUGCUGCGGUACAUAGAAUCAGCUGCCUUUCUUCCCAACCCCACAUUUAUAUACAUUCAAAACCCAAGAUCAUGGGAAGGAAUGGCAGCGGAAAUAGCACCGAUGAUGAAUAAACAUUACCUGAGGGCUGAAAGAGAGGCCUUUUUGUUCUGCUCAGAACUUGGGAGAAAAAACUGUCAGAGACACAGAAGCUGAAAUCAGAAACAUUUUUACUCAAAAAAAUGACAGCAGUGUGGUUAAUGAUAUGGUGCUGAGUUAUAUUAGAUCUUAGAAGCUUUGAUUUCAUACCUAAUCAGAAACACGUGAAAUUGCUGGUGACAAGCAUACGUGUGAUGUGCUGAUUUAAAAUGAUCUCGACUUUUCCUGAAACCAUGAAGACAUUUUUCCCCUUCACACCAUUUUGAGCAAACGUAAGGGAAACCCAACAUGGUUUAAACUAAAAUGGACGUGACUCAGACGAUUUUAUUGCUGUGUUGCUGUGCUGUGAUGAAUAAAGUCUCAGACAGCAUCUCUGACUCAUCAGCUGUGACCUUUUGUGAUAGUCAGAGGGAGGCUGUCUCCCUCUAGAGACCAACCUGGGAUCGACAACGUUGAUGAAGACCUGGACAUCUCAAACGAGAAGGUGUCGCAAAGGCUAGAGCGAAAAAUGUUUUAACAUAAAAGAAUCUGUUUCCGUCCUCCUGUCUUAAAAUGAACAGAUGCUUCGAGAUAGCAGAUUUAUUUUAUGUCUGUUUUGGUCUGGUGUUGGCACUUUAGUUCAUGGCAUCUAUGGGCUACUAGCAGUGCUUUAAAGUUAUUGAGUUGUGUUAUUAUUUUGCAAUGACUGACAGGAGACUCCUGAAUGUGGUAUUGUGCAAUGUUUUAAACUCAUUGUUUUUGCUGUUGGAAAGUUUUGGAGCACGCUUGGCCUUCUAUUCAAUCAGAAUAUUAUAACCCAACACAAAACAAAAACAAGGUGGUGUCAUGGUGGAAUCAUCCACUGUAAGAAAAGUAAACCCUGUGACACAAUCUCUCAAAAACUCUUUUUUAAUUUACAUUUAAAUUUUUGAUCAUUUAUUUGGAACAUUCUAUUUCAUCUUUACCAAAGAGUUUAUUUUCGUGGACACAAUCGAAUAAGCUUUGCGACUCCAUCUCCCUGAUGUCAAUUUACCUGUUGAACUGAGCAGAGGCGACUUUGAUACGGACCAAGACAACUGAUCUUCUCCAUGCGUGGAUGACAGUAUAGCGGCAGCAGAUGGUAAGGUAGGGCAAUCCCUGCUCACUCAUUCAUCGUUCUUAUUCAUCCGAUAGACCUGCUGAGUGUAACAGAAACUUGUACCAUGAUAACAGGACAAUUAGAAGAUUUUUAGGUUUUUAUUUAGAUUUCUUACACACAAGCCAACAAAUCAGAUAUCUGUCAUGACUCCAGCCCCAGUUCUGAUACUUUUGGUCAUUUUUCCCCCGGUCUCCUGCCUCACUUGACGAUGCAUCACCUCCCUUGCAUAUAUACCAGCCUGGAGUUUUUUGCAUCUGGGUUCAGAUUUCCUGUUUUCCUCUAAUAUGUGUGACAAUAACAGUGGCGAUGAUAAAAGAUAGCCUGACGCUUAUUAAUGUUAUCAAAGACAACUUCAUGAUUAAAACAAUUAUCAAGAAAAAACACAAAUGUAUGUGUUUAAUGACUGAGAUUAAUAUUUUUUCUUUUCUGUAGUGUGUGUGAAUGGAGCCUUAAUGUUUUUGUUUGAAUGUGGUU